AUAUGCCUGCAGAUUUCCUAUUUGUUCAUAGAUUGGGUGACCGUUAGUCAUAGGGGAGGGAUGAUCAUAUAAAAGUGGAUAUUUUAUAUGCAGGUGAAAAACAGGUAGUUUAUUCUCUGGCAUGCACCAGAGGAGACUGUUCCUUUUGCGUGGCUCUGAGCACUCGUGUAUCUCUGUUCACGUAUCUUCGCCUUUCCACCUCUGGGUUUAUCAUACCCAGAGCUUGCGAUGCCACACUCUGAACUGUCAAGCACUGGUCUGCCUUUUCCACCUCAAGCUUAAGAACCCGUAGUGCCAGAUGCCUUUGCUACAUCUCGCAUUUUCUCCACCUCGGCUGCCUGCCCGGCUCUGCAGGACGCUGCGCGAGCUGGCCCCGGCACAGCCUGAUGCCGUCCCGGCCACUGUUCCUCCCCCAGGGCGCUGUGUGUGUACACUGCAGUGCGUGCCCGCCCCACUCCUCACAGCAAAGGGGCGUGUGAGCCAGCAGCUCCAACGCGAUCGCAGCCCGAAACCCCGCGGAGCAGGUUCUCGGGAGUGCAGUGUGGCAGAGCAGUCAAGCGGUCCCUCAGGGGCGCCCAGGCGGAUUUCAAACAAUAUCAUCCGUGUGAGAGCAUUUGGAGGAAGAGAAUAAAAGGUCUAAGAGGACCGAGUGGCAGAGGAAGACGCGAGGCAACAUCCGGGCCAUCGAGAGCCCCGAGCGCUUGACCUUCCUGCUCCGCAAGUGAAUUUAUAGGCCUGGUUUAUUCGCGCGCGUUCAUUGUUUGUGCCCCCAGCCUCUCUUCAGUUCUGAGACAAUGCUGAGAGCGUUUGCCUAGCAUAUGUUUCUUCCUGAUGGGCUUCCUGGAGCAGCCUUUCGUUUCUUAGGACUUCUUGAAAAGGUGAGAACUUUUGUCACCUUAAAACCCGUUUGAUGAAAACACAGGAAAUAGCGCUCCCCCUCCACCAGCAGAUUUUCAGUUGUCUUUAAUCGGGGCUCAGUCCUGGCUCUGCUAGCCAAAAAUUCCUGCACAAAGGAGACACCGACGGUCUGUGGGGCCAGCGCGGCAUCCAGGCUCUGCAAACUCUCACCACGUUGUGGUUUUCGCUUCCACUGACCAUAGUUCCUAAGAGAACGAGGCAGUUCUGUAAGAGAGGUGUGUCUCCUCCAUGGGCAAGCCAGGGCCGAGUGACCAUCACACUGCCGUUCUAGCACAGCGCGCACGGUGGGGGCAGAGUAAACGCUCGUUUGUAUUCGGCAGUGAGGCACCUUGUUAGAUGCUGACACUUCCACUCUUAGUGUCUUUUAACAGUCAGGGUUGGAUUGGUCCAAGGUGGCCUACUCCAUCAAAUCAGACUGUAAAAGCUCAGAGAAUCCCUUGGAGGGAAGGAAGGAGCAUAAUACAUUCUUUUCAUUACUCUCAGACAAAUUUUGUGACAUGCUGAGAGGAUCCCCCACACCUCAUCAGUUAAAUGGACAAAUCACUCGAUUAGUAGAUUAUACCAUCGAAGCAUAAUCAAUUCAUUUGCCCGUCACAACCGUCAUACCAGACACAGAAGCGUGAAAACAGCUGACGUUCACUGGUCACAUAGCCUUGCCAAGUGCUUGACGAUGCACACCCUGCGGGGGAGGCACUGUCAUUGCCUGCCGCUCUCCUGAACCUGGGCGCGGAGGGCUGGGGUCUGAGAGACUCGCACUCCCUGCUGCCUCCAGCCCUGCGCUUUGUCGGCGUAGCCUUUACCACAGGCACAAGGCAGGGGCUUCCUAAGCAGUGUCCUGGCAGCCCUGGCAGCCUGAGGGAAGGGUAAAAAUGGGUGCUUGGGCACACUGCUCAGGAUGACCUCAUUAUUUUGAAAUAAGUGGGAAAAAAUUAAUAAUAAUUUUACAAUUUACAAAACCACAGGACUGGGAUGUACAGCUCAGGGGUGGAGCAGGUACUGCGCAUGUGUGAGCGUCCGGGUUUGCCCCUCAGCACCGCACGGGCCCGCGCGCACACGCCAGCCCCGGGACCGUACGUAAAGUCACGCACUGCCCCGUCUGUUCUCACACCCGUUCAACCCUGACCAACGCACGAGUGGCGCACACAGCGCCCUGUGACGCUGGAAGCCUGAGCUGACCCGGAAGGACUCAUCCUCACUACGGAAUAGCCCCGGGUGUAAAACAAAGGGAAGCUGCAGCAGGUCUUUAU
ensembl:lincRNA